CGAGAUCGAGAGAUGGAGCAAAUCCCAAAAAUAAACGUCCCAGUUCGGACUGUAGUCUGCAACCCGACUACACGAAGCUGGAAUCGCUAGUAAUCGCGGAUCAGAAUGCCGCGGUGAAUACGUUCCCGGGUCUUGUACACACCGCCCGUCACACCAUGAGAGUUGGAGAUACCCGAAGCCUAUGAGCUUAACUUUUAGAGGCAGUAGUCGAAGGUAGAAUCAAUGAUUGGGGUGAAGUCGUAACAAGGUACC
rnacentral:rRNA from 1 species